GUCAGGAAGCAAAAUUUAAAAUAUUCAUAAAUUUGUUAAUUGUUUGCGUUUUAUUUCGUUUUGCCCCUUAACCACGUCAUGGUUAAACAUGAACAAACUAAAACUUGCUGCCUUAAUUGUGCGAUAGGAGUCCUUCUGUCUAUCAUCAGUACGUUUCUUGUUAUAAUUGUUGUCGCGGGCAUUGUCGUGUAUUUUGUAUACUACCACGAUGGGGACCAUAGCGGUGACAUUCAAAACAAUUUCGAGAAGAUAAAGGACGUUGUAUCUGAUAAAUAUGACGAAGCUUCUAAAAUACUAAAAAAUUAAGGCGGCUUUAAGCAAUGGAAGUGCUAAAUUUGAACAUCCCUCUUUUGUCUGUAUUGUGAAGUCGUAAUGAUUUUAUUUUUUUUUAUAAUUUUGUUAUAAUAAACAUACAAAUAAAUUUACUCAUUGUUCCUCAA
rnacentral:sRNA from 1 species